GGGCUUGUAGCUCAGCAGGUUAGAGCGCACGCCUGAUAAGCGUGAGGUCGGAAGUUCGAGUCUUCCCAGGCCCA
rnacentral:tRNA from 1 species